CCCUAAAAAAGUCUGUGUGGGGACCAUGAGAUCCAGACCAAAAGCUCAGAGGCCAGAGCAGCAGCACACACCAGACUCUGCUGGACCUGGACCUGAACAUGGACCUGAGCCCAGCUGUGUGUCCAUGAAGCGUGACAGGUCAAAUGAUCGCCUCAUUAAUUUCAAAGGACAGCCUCCCUCUGCUGCAAAGAAGAUCCAUCAGAGACCAGACUUCCCUGUACCUGAGCCCAGCUGUGUGUCCAUGAAGAGUGAC